UACGUAGGGUCCGAGCGUUGUCCGGAAUUAUUGGGCGUAAAGAGCUCGUAGGCGGUUUGUCGCGUCUGCUGUGAAAUCCCGAGGCUCAACCUCGGGUCUGCAGUGGGUACGGGCAGACUGGAGUGCGGUAGGGGAGAAUGGAAUUCCUGGUGUAGCGGUGGAAUGCGCAGAUAUCUGGAGGAACACCGGUGGCGAAGGCGACAUCCUGGACCGGUAUUGACGCUGAGGCGCGAAAGCCAGGGGAGCAAACGGG
rnacentral:rRNA from 1 species